AGUGAACGCUGGCGGUAGGCCUAACACAUGCAAGUCGAACGGCAGCACAGGAGAGCUUGCUCUCUGGGUGGCGAGUGGCGGACGGGUGAGGAAUACAUCGGAAUCUACUCUGUCGUGGGGGAUAACGUAGGGAAACUUACGCUAAUACCGCAUACGACCUACGGGUGAAAGCAGGGGACCUUCGGGCCUUGCGCGAUUGAAUGAGCCGAUGUCGGAUUAGCGAGUUGGCGGGGUAAAGGCCCACCAAGCGACGAUCCGUAGCUGGUCUGGGAGGAUGAUCAGCCACACUGGAACUGAGACACGGUCCAGACUCCUACGGGAGGCAGCAGUGGGGAAUAUUGGACAAUGGGCGCAAGCCUGAUCCAGCCAUACCGCGUGGGUGAAGAAGGCCUUCGGGUUGUAAAGCCCUUUUGUUGGGAAAGAAAUCCAGCUGGCUAAUACCCGGUUGGGAUGACGGUACCCAAAGAAUAAGCACCGGCUAACUUCGUGCCAGCCGCCGCAGUAA
rnacentral:rRNA from 1 species